CCGAUAUACUAUGUGAUUUGCGCGCAUCGGUGCGCAAUGCAUCGCGGUAUGGGGACGGCGCGUUAUAAAAGACGGGCGGUCGACGCAAUUUAUUCAAAAGCAAUCUCGACCGUCGCCAAGUGUAUACUGGUCUCCAAACAGAUUCCAACUGCGAAAACGGUGUAUAUCUUGGUCUUUCAACUGCUGCAGUUUGAGUAUAUAUAUUCAGUGCGAAGAGAAAAUUAUAAGACUUGUAUAAUCGGAGUAAUUUGGUCGUGGAAAAAACGCAAACUAACUUUUCAUCAUGAAGUGUUCAAUUGUAUUGCUUGUAUUGGUCUUGUCUAUAAUGACGGCUUUCCUCGUGCAUGAGUCAGACGCGGUAAAUACAGCUAUAAAGCCGAAGAUACGUACAUAUAGAGUAUUAAAGAAAAAAGUAGUGUCACCAAAGUCUACAAAUCCCAACACAGGUAGAGGACAAAGAGUGACGAUAUUUAAAAGGAAAAUUAAGAACAAAGACAAAUCGAGACGACGUGUUCCAGGAAUGCACGGUAAGCGUCUGUUUUAAUGCUAGUGAUAAUUCACACGAUAUCUUCUCUGCAUGCAUCUCAAAAUAACAGAG